UACGGGGGGAGCAAGCGUUGUUCGGAUUUACUGGGCGUAAAGGACGCGUAGGCGGCCACCGCAAGUCAAUUGUGAAAUCUCCGGGCUUAACUCGGAAAGGUCAACUGAUACUGCGGGGCUAGAGUGCGGAAGGGGCAACUGGAAUUCUCGGUGUAGCGGUGAAAUGCGUAGAUAUCGAGAGGAACACCUGCGGCGAAGGCGGGUUGCUGGGCCGACACGUGACGCUGAGGCGCGAAAGCCAGGGGAGCGAACGGGG
rnacentral:rRNA from 1 species